AUACGUAGGUGACAAGCGUUAUCCGGAUUUACUGGGCGUAAAGGGCGUGUAGGCGGUCUUGCAAGUCAGAAGUGAAAUUCCUGAGCUCAACUCGGGCGCUGCUUCUGAAACUGCAGGACUUGAGUGCUGGAGGGGAUAGCGGAAUUCCUAGUGGAGCGGUAAAAUGCGCAGAUAUUAGGAAGAACACCGGUGGCGAAGGCGGCUAUCUGGACAGUAACUGACGCUCAUGCACGAAAGUGCGGGGAUCGAACAGGAUUAGAUACCCUGGUAGUCCGCACAGUAAACGAUGAAUACUUGUUUUCGGCGAUAUAAUGUCGGAGGCAAAGCGAAAGCGAUAAGUAUUCCACCUGGGGAGUACGCCGGCAACGGUGAAACUCAAAUGAAUUGACGGGG
rnacentral:rRNA from 1 species